AUUGAACGCUGGCGGCAUGCCUUACACAUGCAAGUCGAACGGCAGCACGGGUGCUUGCACCUGGUGGCGAGUGGCGAACGGGUGAGUAAUACAUCGGAACACGUCCUGUAGCGGGGGAUAGCCCGGCGAAAGCCGGAUUAAUACCGCAUACGAUCUACGGACGAAAGCGGGGGACCUGCGGGCCUCGCGCUAUAGGGUUGGCCGAUGGCGGAUUUGCUAGUUGGUGGGGUAAAGGCCUACCAAGGCGACGAGCAGUAGCUGGUGUGAGAGGACGACCGGCCGCACGGGGACUGGGCCACCGCCCAGGCUCCUACGGGAGGCAGCAGUGGGGAAUUGUGGACAAUGGGCGAAAGCCUUGUCCAGCAAUGCCGCGCGUGUGAAGAAGGCCUUCGGGUUGUAAAGCACGUUUGUCCGGAAAGAAAUCCUUGGCCCUAAUACGGUCGGGGGAUGACGGUACCGGAAGAAUAAGCACCGGCUAACUACGUG
rnacentral:rRNA from 1 species